GUACUCCUACGGGGAGGCAGCAGUGGGGGAAUAUUGCACAAUGGGCGCAAGCCUGAUGCAGCCAUGCCGCGUGUGUGAAGAAGGCCUUCGGGUUGUAAAGCACUUUCAGUCGUGAGGAAGGUAGUGUAGUUAAUAGCUGCAUUAUUUGACGUUAGCGACAGAAGAAGCACCGGCUAACUCCGUGCCAGCAGCCGCGGUAAUACGGAGGGUGCGAGCGUUAAUCGGAAUUACUGGGCGUAAAGCGCAUGCAGGUGGUUUGUUAAGUCAGAUGUGAAAGACCCGGGGCUCAACCUCGGAAUAGCAUUUGAAACUAGGCAGACUAGAGUACUGUAGAGGGGGGUAGGAAUUUCAGGUGUAGCGGUGAAAUGCGUAGAGAUCUGAAGGAAUACCGGUGGCGAAGGCGGCCCCCUGGACAGAUACUGACACUCAGAUGCGAAAGCGUGGGGAGCAAACAGGAUUAGAUACCCUGGUAG
rnacentral:rRNA from 1 species